rnacentral:rRNA from 1 species
UACGAAGGGGGCUAGCGUUGCUCGGAAUCACUGGGCGUAAAGGGUGCGUAGGCGGGUCUUUAAGUCAGGGGUGAAAUCCUGGAGCUCAACUCCAGAACUGCCUUUGAUACUGAAGAUCUUGAGUUCGGAAGAGGUGAGUGGAACUCCCGAGUGUAGAGGUGAAAUUCGUAGAUAUUCGGAAGAACACCAGUGGCGAAGGCGGCUCACUGGUCCGGUACUGACGCUGAGGUGCGAAAGCGUGGGGAGCAAACAGG